CCCGCUUUCCCAAGCCAAAGAUCCUCACGUCUGUCCAUAUUACUUACAUUCAUCAUAAAAUCCAUAAAUUCUAUUAAUGCUGGCACAUUCAUGGUUCCCUCUGAGGAGGAAAAAGUUCUCCGGAUAUUUAAUUUUGUAGGCCAGUAGAAGACAAAUUGUUUCUAAAGACUGCUUUCCUCUGUCAACAUAGUCACCAAGGAAUAGGUAGUUGCUUUCUGGUGGAAAGCCUCCAUAUUCAAAGAGCCGAAGCAAGUCAUAGUAUUGUCCAUGGAUGUCACCACAUAUUUUCAGUGGAGCUUCAAGUUCUAGCAGAAUAGGCUGACUGAGAAAGAUUUCUCUGGAUUUCAAGCACAGUCCUCUGAUUUCAUUCUCUUGAAGUUGGACAUUUUUACCUGGUUUUGAUCCUCUCACCUCCAGCAGCCGUUGGAUGAUGCUGUCGAUGUUCAGCUUGUCUAUAUCCGCCAUCGCCUCUCAGCGGCCGGGCGGACCCCUCCCCGCCGCUCCCCUCCCUCCGCUGGCUGCUCGGCUGGCCCGACUCCUCUCUUCUCGUCGGCCCGUCGUGCUUUCCCCGUGCCCUCUAUCCUGCCCGUUCUCUUUCUUCCCUCUCGCUUUUCCCCCCGCCCCCCCUUUGCCGCUGCUCUCAGCGCAGCCCCAGCGCGGAACAAAAUGGCCGCCUUCUCCUCAGUGAGCUUGGGGGAGCG
rnacentral:lncRNA from 1 species